ensembl:lncRNA
CUGCAGUAUAAGCUGUGAUGAUGUGACUGCAAAUGUGGGAAAAGAAAUCCAUUAUCAGUAAAAACAGAGGAUCCCAAAUCUAAGUAUCCUAUCAUCACUUCGGUUGCGGGCUGUUUCAUCAUCAUCCUCUUCAUCAUCAUAAUAACAAUCAUUUGCAAAACAAAACCAAACUUCACCAAGUCUUGUGGAUUCCAAAAAAGGAUGUUUCUAUGCAUCAGACAUGAUGAAGACAACACCACUCCUCCAGAAACUGUGAUAUAGCACUGACUCGGCAAUACAAGUUUUCAUAUGGUGCAGAAAUACAUUUACAUUUAGUCAUUUUGCAGACGCUUUUAUCCAAAGCGACUAACAGUUGGGGAUACAUAAAGCAAUUUUUCUUAAAGAGGCAAACAGACACAGGAAGUGCUUGUAAUAACAAGUUUUAGACAUUGUUCAAAUAAGUACACGCUAGAAAGAGAAGGAAUAAAUAAAGAGAAACACAGUUUUUUAUUAUUUUUUUGUUAUUUUAUUUUUUUAUGAUGAAGGCAAGUAGCUUCAAAAGAGAUGAGUUUUCAGCUGUUGCUUGAAGAUUAUCAGGGAUUCUGCAUUCCAGAUGGGGUGGGAGGAUCAUUCCACCAGCCAGGAAUGGUGAACGAGAAUGUUCUGGAAAGUGAUUUUGAGCCUGUGAUGGUAUCAUGAGGCAUCGCUCAUUUGCGGAUCUCAGACUUCUGGAGGGGAUGUAGAUUCGUAGUAGUGAGUGGAAGUAGGCGGGUGCUGAGCCUGUGGUUGUUCUAUAUGCAAGCGUCAAUGUCUUGAACUUGAUGCGAGCCAACAACCGGUAGCCAGUGCAAGGAGGUAAAGAGAGGUGUAACAUGAGCUCUUUUGGGCUCGUUAAAGACCAUUCAUGCCGCUGCAUUCUGAAUCACAAAUACAUAAGCUUUUUGAACUCCACUAUACUAUCUGUACCUCAAACUACUGAACUAUAUAACUCUGGCAGAAGGUUUUAAAACUUUGUUUCUGUUUUAUAUUACUUUAUGUGAAAUAACAUAUUCUUGGUCUGUUUGAUCAGUGUAUGUAUUUGUAUAUGACUUUAAUCAACUCAAGCCUUUGUCAACCUUAAGAGGAAACACGGCUCUUUUUCUGACUUUCAAGGAAUCCUUUUAUGGAUUAUGAAAGGUUCAUGUUUUUUUUUGGGAAUCCCCAACAACAGGUUGGCAUGCAUGCAAGUUCAAAAAACACUUUCAUUGUCUUUUUUUAUUUGUCAUUUAUUUUUACCUUAUUUGCUCAACGACUCCCAAAUGAUUCACUCAACUAUAGGCUUGUCUGAAAUGUAGGGCUGCAGUGAGGGGAGGAGUGAAAUAAGCACAGUCAAGACUGACAGUUCUGAGCUCUCGAAGUGGAACAGGUACCAACGAGAUCAAAGGCAGAUAUCGUGUUAUUCUCAGUCACGUGCUGUGCUGCUGAUAAACAUGAUAAAAUUUAAGUUCUGUUGCUUUUAUAUGAAAAUAAAUACGAUGAACAAGACACUUGAAGUGUUUGCUGUUUAAUUCCAUACGGAAGGCGUAUUUAUCAUUCAUUUUUACUUUAAUAAAAAAACAUGUAUUUUAGAUUUUUAUAGAAAUAUGACAAAAAAAAAUUUAAUGAUGAAAAAGAGCUUGUUUUAUCAAAAGCAACACUUUAUAAUAUCUCAUAUCAAAGCAAUGUUGUUCUUCAAUGACACAUAGGCUACAUAAGGGAACAUAAGAUUCAGGGAACACAUAACACUCGAUAAAACAUAUCUAUACAUAAUAGAGUUUGUUUGUAUUCUGAUCGUUUUUGGAUCAUUUAUUAAGAUGAUUAAAUGUGAAUAUUAAGAUCCUGGUGAAGGUAAAUGGAUGGAGGUAACAACUGAUUGUUUCAUUUGUUUAACUCUUUAAAAGUUCCCUUGUUACCAUAGAAGAUGCACAGCAGACAUGACUGUUCUGAGAUGAGAGAUAAUUUGUCUUUCAAUGAUAUAUCAAAAUACUUAAAUGUGAAUCUUAAAUAAAAGCCUUA